rnacentral:misc_RNA from 1 species
UCCGGUUUGGCACCGGCAGUCUCCUUAGAGUUCCCACCUUUACGUGCUGGCAACUAAGGACAAGGGUUGCGCUCGUUGCGGGACUUAACCCAACAGCUCACGACACGAGCUGACGACAGCCAUGCAGCACCUGUGAUGCACCCUCGAAGGCGACCCCAUCUCUGGGGCUUGCAGCAACAUGUCAAGGGUGGGUAAGGUUCUUCGCGUAGCUUCGAAUUAAACCACAUGCUCCACUGCUUGUGCGGAGUCCCGUCUAUUCCUUUGAGUUUUAGCCUUGCGGCCGUACUCCCCAGGCGGAAUGCUUAACGCGUUAGCUUCUCAACGCAAAGGGUCGAUACUUCACACUAAUAGCAUUCAUCGUUUACGGCGUGGACUAC